AAUGGUAAUGAUACAGAGAAGAUUACCAUGGCCCCUGUGCAAG
rnacentral:snRNA from 1 species